UACGGAGGGGACUAGCGUUGUUCGGAAUUACUGGGCGUAAAGCGCACGUAGGCGGAUUUGUAAGUCAGGGGUGAAAUCCCGGGGCUCAACCUCGGAACUGCCUUUGAUACUGCAAAUCUCGAGUCCGGAAGAGGUGAGUGGAAUUCCUAGUGUAGAGGUGAAAUGCGCAGAUAUCAGGAAGAAUAUCCGUGGCGAAGGCGGCUCUCUGGGACGGUACUGACGCUGAGACGCGAAAGCGUGGGGAGCGAACAGG
rnacentral:rRNA from 1 species